UACGGAGGGGGCUAGCGUUGUUCGGAAUUACUGGGCGUAAAGCGCGCGUAGGCGGAGAUCCAAGUCGGGGGUGAAAUCCCGGGGCUCAACCCCGGAACUGCCUCCGAUACUGGGUCUCUGGAGGACGGGAGAGGCGAGUGGAAUGCCGAGUGUAGAGGUGAAAUUCGUAGAUAUUCGGCGGAACACCCGUGGCGAAGGCGGCUCGCUGGUCCGUUUCUGACGCUGAGGCGCGAAAGCGUGGGGAGCAAACAGG
rnacentral:rRNA from 1 species